rnacentral:lncRNA from 1 species
CUCCAAUUAGACCCCUAGCCUGGGAACCUCCAUAUGCUGCCGGUGCGGCCCUAAGAGGACAAAAAGACAAAAAAAAAAAAAAAAAAAAAAGGUUACUAGGAACUGACAAAUGCUGAAAAUAACUGCCAAAGUCGCAAAAGUGCUUGUAAUACGGGAGCUCCUAAUUGUGCGGCUUCUUCAGGCCCGCAUUGCAUGGGAUAUUUUAUCUUUGGAGGAGAGUUCUUGUAUGUGCCGUGGGAGGCUCUUGUCACUAGUAUAAUUCGAAUUUAGGCUAUUUUCCAUCAAGAAACUCCCCUGUCCCCCUGGACACACACACUUGAGCAUGGAAUUGGUUCUGUAGCUCUUUUUCAAUGAAGAGGAGCAGCUUGGGAGGGGCAGGCCCACGGUCUCAACGUUACAGCUGCCCGGGGUUAGAGAACCAGCUCUCUGAAUGUGCAGUUUGCUCUCUGCCCUGAGUGCCAGCUGCCAUUUGAGGUCAUCGCUAUGGACAUGUCUGGGUUUUCAUUAAGAGCUCAGGGCUGCUAAUUGCGUCUCAUACUCUGCUUGUUCCUGGACCAAAUUUGGGGCCAGGAGGAGGGCCGAGGAUGAGCACCUCCUCCUGUUUCCUUUGCAACUUGCACACGUCAGGGGGCCACGAGGGGGUUAUGUGGCCAUGGAAGGGGUCUCCCAGUUCCCCUCCAGCUGCUACGGUGAGACCAGGAUAGACCAGUACUUUGUGAAGUGCUUUAUCUUGCCAUCACUUUCUAAAAAUUUAAUGUUUAUUUUCUGUCGGAGUGUACUUGAUUUGCAAUGUUGUGUUAGUUUCAGGUGUACAGCAAAGUGAACCAGUUGUGCAUGUACACAGAUUUAUUCUUUUUCAGAUUCUUUUCCUGUAUAGGUUAUUAGACUAUUCAGUAGAAUUUCCUGUGCUGUACAGUAGGCCCUUGUUGCUUAUCUAUCUUAUAUAUAGUAAUGUGUGUGUGUGUUAAUCCCAAACUAAUCCCUGAUUAAUCCUGGCCACCUGUGAAGUCUCGCUCGGUUUUCCAUUCUUGUAACACGGGUCCCGUGGGCCUGGACGUGGCUCAGGAGCCUUCUUUGCAAAAAACUGCCCAGACAAUUUCCAUGGGAGCCGUGUUUGGGGAUAGAUGCCUGGCUUCCACCUCCCGGAAGUGGCUCCGUAAAAAGUUUUCAGAAUACACAUUCCUCAUGGUUCCACAUGUCCACAGGGGAAUCUCCUCUUCAAGGACCCUGCCAUCGCUGUGGUCAGGGCCGCACUGGCAGAUGCCUGGUGGGACACAGAUGGCGGGGCUGGGAGCUGAGCUCCAAGUGCAGCCCAUCCACCGGCUCUCUCUGCGCUGAACAUGCCUGAAGCUCCUGGCGCCCCUGGGGAGGCAGGUCCCAUGCAUGGGGCCUUGGAUGCAGUGGGUGGGUGAGGGAUGGACGGAAGGAUGGGGAUUGGGCUUCACCUACAGUGGGGCCCUGUUUCCUUACAUGUAGCAUCACCUCCUGGAUGUAUUGUGAGAGGUGAUUAUGGGUGUAGACGGCUCUGCCAGGGUUCUGUCUCCCAAGGCAAGCAUCGCCCUGGGUGCUCCUGGCUGGACGGCAGCUCUUGGAUGUGAACAGAGGCACCGCCUACCUGUGGAGGGUGAUGGCGAAUGUCUGUUAGGUCUGUGUCGUUGCUGCCGUGGGUCUCACUGCCUGGGGACCCCUGGGGGCUAUGACACCUCAUGACGAGGCCAGGAGAUGCAGUGCUUCUUCCAGCAUCCAGCCCCACAUCCCAUUCCCCAGGGGGCAACGAACAGCUGAUCCACACUCCUGCUCCCUCUCAGAUCCCAUCACAGGCGUUCGUAGCUGAUAACAUGCCCUGAGAUUUGCUUAGCUCACAUCGGAAGGCGUCAUCUGUGUUCACAACCUGGCCACCUGGGGUGAGAAGUUGAGGAGGCUGCUCAGAAGGCUGUUAACCAUGGGGACAGGAGACAGGUCAGCCUAUAAACUCCACCCUUCAUACGCAGGACACAGCUGUGUGCAGUGGGUCUCUUGGGGCAUUUGAGGUCGAGACAUCGUGGUUUUAUGCUCACUCUGUUGUGUUAGCGAGAAGUUUCUGUUUUGUGUUUUGUUUUAAUCGAGAGUGGGAAGCAAAGAGCUUAUAGUAAACAUCAAAAGUGAAGCAAAGAACCACAGUUGUAUAAUAAACGGACAAAGCAAACCAUGAUGAGGUGACGAGGUGGGUAUAGUGACCGAGGAGGAGAAAGGAGACUCUUCUUACAGAAGCACCUUUUUUCCCCAAACUUGAAACUUGUUCCUUCCUGGCUCAGCCCAGGUUACAUUGAGAUGGCCACACACACUUCUCAGAGUGAAGUGAUCACUUGCCCUUUUGAAAGUUAUAAAUUAGGGGUUCCUGUUGUGGCGCAGCAGAAACGAAUCUGACUAGGAACCAUGAGGUUACAGGUUCAAUCCCUGGCCUCACUCAGUGGAUUAAGUAUCUAGCUUUGCUGUGAGCUGUGGUGUAGGUCGAAGAUGUGGCUCGGAUCUGGCGUUGCUGUGGCGGUGGUGAAUUGGUGGCUACAGCUCCGUUUCGACCUCUAGCCUGGGAACCUCCAUAUGCCGCGGGUGCAGCCCUAAAAACACAAAAGACAAAAAAAAAAAGUUAUAUAUUAAGCAAUGACAAACUGUUUUUUUUUUUUCCCCAAAGAAGCAUGUUUUCCUCUUAUGCCACUCAGAUGUAUCCAUGUGUAGGCCACUGCCUCAGGGAAUUGAAAGAAAAGCAAGGAUGCUGAGGUUCCUCUGAAAUUUUUGGAUCAUUUCUGGUGGUCUUUGGUCUGUCUGAACAACCCUCAUGUCCCCAGAGUUGCAGGAAGAGAGAGGCAGCCUGGGGCUUCAGGAAGGCUGGCCCCCAACUGCUGGGAUCUGACCUUAAGCCUCUCUUGAAAUUCAGGUCUCUGUGGCUCCCAAUUAUUUGGCCUCCAUGGACACCAGUGCUCCUAAAUCUUGGCCACAAUUAGAAUCACCCACAAGGGUUUCCCCCCACCCCCCAAAAAAACCCUGAUGUGCAGACCCUCCCCCCAAAGGCUGGCUCUUGGUCUAGGGUGUUCCUUACCAGUGAUGGUUCAGGCCCUUUCCAGAUGAUUCAGGGUGCAGCCAGAAUGCUGCUCUGGAUAAACUAGCCCCCCUUCCUUCCCUCUGCUCCUCCCUCCAGGACACACUAAGUGAAUGUCAAGGUUGGUGGUCUAGCCAAGAGCUUUCCUUUUUUAGGUGGCAAGUCCACAUUCCUGCAGUCAUUCUCCAAGUUACUUGGUUUCCAGAAACCUGCCUCCCUGGCCCUGCUCUGGAUGUGCUCUUGGCUCUCCUCCGCGUGUGCCUGGGAGCUGAGACUGGGUUCCCCCAGUUGGGUGUGCACUGUGCCCUUGCCUCCGUGGCUCUGACUAGGAUGCUUUGGCUUGAUCUAAAACCCUCAGCCGUGAAGACUCACACUGAGCUUGUGGUCCCCUAGGAGCCUGGACUCUUUUUCACAGCAAAGCUCUAAAGCCAGACCUUUCACUUCCUGCAUUUGUGUUUUCCGUACCUUAUUAUUUUGAGCCUCUAUUCCAUCCUGUUGAAAACUUUUGAACUUUGUUUUUUUGAUGAAGAUUGCCUCUCCCUCCUCCCUGAGUGUCAGUCCUGAACUCUGUGUCUUCACCAAGGCCACCGAUAUGCGGUGUGGGGCUGUAGGGGGCUGGGGCUGUAGCCUUCAUCCGUAGGAGACCUUCCUCCCUGUGGACCCUGCAUGGAGCUCAGGUCAGCUCCAAGUCCACCUCACUGUCCAGCCACAUCUCACCUUGUGCCCCAGACCAUCAGGAGAGGCCAGGUCCACCUGUCCUCCUGUGCGCUGAGUGACUGGGGGUAAGCCUCUCCAAAGAGGGAAGUCAGGCUGUCUAGGUGAUGGACUUCUCUGGUACAGCUGGGUUUUCUUUUCUUUUUGUCCUAAACCUGAGAUAAAAUAUUUUGAAAUGGUACCUAUUCUUGUGUUUUGAUCUGUGUUAACGUUUUUCUUGUUGUUGUUGUUGGUUUUUUUUUUUUUUUUGGUUUUUUUUUUUAUAUUUUUUAGGGCCGUUUUUUUUAUAUUUUAUAGGGCCACACUUGCUGAAUAUGGAGGUUCUCAGGCUAGGGGGUUGAAUUGGAACUGCUGGGCUACACCACCGCCACAGCAAUGCAGAAUCCGAGCUGGUUCUGCCACCUACACCACAGCUCUUGGCAACGCUAGAUCCUUAACCCACUAAGCAAGGCCAGGGAUUGAACCCGAAACCUCAUGGUUCCUAGUCGGAUUCGUUAACCACUGAGCCACCACAGGAACUCCUGUGUUAACAUUUCUGCAAAUGACUUUCUUUGCCCCUCAGUGCUCUGUCAGUUACAGGCAAGAGCACGGAGGAGAUGCCCUAGAACCUUUAUGCAGGUGUGCUGACCUCCUGUUAGGUGUGAGGCUCGAAGGAGCUAGUGUCUCUAUAUUCUGUUACUGUGGUAGGGGGCCUGCAGGAAAGCCUUUUUGUUACAAAUGCAUCUGACCUGAGCUUGUUGACCUGAGAUGAAGGGAGUGCCAGGCAGGUCUUGCUCUAUGUCCUCUGGGGCAGCAGGCACCUCCCGCCCUUGUCCGAGUAUUAGCAGUAGAACUGCCCGGCCCGGUGGGCUCUGAGGCCCCAGGAGGCAGGUCCCACCAUGGCCUAGGGAUGGGAAGAAGCCUGGGCAGGGGUCCAGUGUCCCAGCUUCCAAACCUCCUUAGUCUUUUUCCUCCUUCAUCCUGUGGAGAGAAGGGUGUGGUUAGUAUUCCCAGUAGUUUGUGUAACUGAGUUAGGGUUACCGAAAUUGUAUAAUCCAGAUUUAGGAUGUUGGCAUAAAUGAAGUGUCACCCUUGGGUGAGGGCGUCAGCUGUGGAGACUGACGCUGGGAAAUACUAAAAAGUUGAGCUCUCCAAAUUGAUCUGUCUGAAAGGAAAUUUAAAAGUUGAGAAAUUCCAACCAAAUAGUCUUUGCAAGAGACCACAAGUGGUUGUUGAUUAAAGGACCUCUUCGUGGUGAUACUUUCUGAUAAAGCCAUUUGGGGGGAUGGGAGGAGAAAAGUUGGGUUCCCAAGACAACUUGGCUUCACUGACUUUUUUUCUCUGAAGAUUCUCAGUGAUGAAUCUCCAGCUUUCUUCCUUGUGCAAUUUCAAUAACUUGGGACCUGUUUCCCAAGUGUGUGCAAAGUGUGUGCCUUGGACUAGAGGGAAGGAGGGCGCCCUGAGCACCCCACAUCUGCAGCUGCAUCUGCCUCACCAGAGUCUGGAAGGGACCAGAUCUACCGGCUCAGAUGCAGCCCUGGUUCCAGGCUCUGCUUUGUCUCCAUGGGGGACCAUCACACAAGCCUGCUUUUCCAUUCUGUAUUUUUUAGUUGAGAAAGGAAAAGAAAAGAGGAUUAAGAGACUUAACAUGGAACACUGUAAAUCAAGUAUAAUGGAAAAAUAAAAAUCAUAAAAAGAGAAUUAAUAUGCAUUGAAAAUUAAGUGCUUAAAAAUGGAUAUAAUGUCUAGUCACUUAUGAUGGAGCAUGAUAAUGUGAGAGAAAAGAAGGUAUACAUGUAUGUGUAACUGGGUCACCAUGCUGUACAGUAGAAAAUUGACAGAACACUGUAAACCAGCUCUAAUGGAAAAAAUAAAAAUCA